UAGGGAAAGUUGCAAAGCACUUUUGAAAGAGAGUAAAAGAGGACGUGAAACCGGUGAAGGUGGAAACGGAUAGAGUCGGCGUAUCUAUUCAAGUAUUCAGUUACAUUAUUUUUAUGUUGUGAUUCUCUGAGCUCCAGAUUGGGACAGAGGGAAUCAGCAUAAUUUUCUGUGAUGCAUUUACUUGAUUGGUGCUUGGGGAUGUUUGAGGCAGAUUUGUCUCCGUCGUUUUGAGGCCAGCUUGCUGGUACCCAAACGGUGUUAGCAUUUUUUGUCUUGGACAUUUGAGUAUGGCUCACGGGCAUUUAUUGGAUCAGAUCUGAGUGUAAGUUACGGUCGCAUGCGACACGUGCUUUUCAAUUAGUUCGGUCCAGUUAAUGCUCUCGUACUCGUUCCCCAUGUAAAAGCCGGUCAUCUAUCCGACCCGUCUUGAAACACGGACCAAGGAGUUUAUCGUGUGCGCAAGUUUUUGGGUGUUAAAAACCUAAAAGCGAAAUGAAAGUAAAUGGCUCUUUAGAGUCUGAUGUGCGAUCUUGUAAAAAAGUGCAGCAUGGCCCCAUUCUAACUGUUUACAGUAGGGUGGCGGAAGAGCGUACGCGGUGAGACCCGAAAGAUGGUGAACUAUUCCUGAGCAGGACGAAGCCAGAUGGAACUCUGGUGGAAGUCCGAAGCGGUUCUGACGUGCAAA
rnacentral:rRNA from 1 species